GCUGGGCGUGGUGGCGUGCACCUGUAGUCCCAGCUACUCAGGAGGCUGAGACAGGAGAAUCACUUGAACCUGGGAGGCAGAGGUUGCAGUGAGCCAAGAUUGUUCAAACGCACUCUACCCAGGUGACAGAGUGAGACUCUGUCUCAA
ensembl:misc_RNA Metazoa_SRP Metazoan signal recognition particle RNA